GGUACUGCUCUCAGGAGUGUUGGGUGAUCGUGUGUUACCCAGGUGUGGCGUAGUGGUGUUCCCGAGCCAUGUGGCGUGACGGAAAGCAAUAGAGCGGUCGUGAAGCAGAACCCAGACGAACGAGGAAAUCGUUCUCUUCGAGAGAUAAAGUUUACCAAGUAAACUUAAAAAAAAAAAUAAGGCGAAAAAAAUAAAAGCAUAACAAACGUGCUUCAUAUGCUGAGCUGAUGGCUCUUGGUGUUUGAGAGGUAAAAAAAACAACAACAACGAAAUAUGAACAACUAACGUAG